rnacentral:rRNA from 1 species
CGUGCCUAAUACAUGCAAGUCGAGCGGACAGAUGGGAGCUUGCUCCCUGAUGUUAGCGGCGGACGGGUGAGUAACACGUGGGUAACCUGCCUGUAAGACUGGGAUAACUCCGGGAAACCGGGGCUAAUACCGGAUGCUUGAUUGAACCGCAUGGUUCAAUUAUAAAAGGUGGCUUUUAGCUACCACUUACAGAUGGACCCGCGGCGCAUUAGCUAGUUGGUGAGGUAACGGCUCACCAAGGCAACGAUGCGUAGCCGACCUGAGAGGGUGAUCGGCCACACUGGGACUGAGACACGGCCCAAACUCCUACGGGAGGCAGCAGUAGGGAAUCUUCCGCAAUGGACGAAAGUCUGACGGAGCAACGCCGCGUGAGUGAUGAAGGUUUUCGGAUCGUAAAACUCUGUUGUUAGGGAAGAACAAGUACCGUUCGAAUAGGGCGGUACCUUGACGGUACCUAACCAGAAAGCCACGGCUAACUACGUGCCAGCAGCCGCGGUAAUACGUAGGUGGCAAGCGUUGUCCGGAAUUAUUGGGCGUAAAGCGCGCGCAGGCGGUUUCUUAAGUCUGAUGUGAAAGCCCCCGGCUCAACCGGGGAGGGUCAUUGGAAACUGGGGAACUUGAGUGCAGAAGAGGAGAGUGGAAUUCCACGUGUAGCGGUGAAAUGCGUAGAGAUGUGGAGGAACACCAGUGGCGAAGGCGACUCUCUGGUCUGUAACUGACGCUGAGGCGCGAAAGCGUGGGGAGCGAACAGGAUUAGAUACCCUGGUAGUCCACGCCGUAAACGAUGAGUGCUAAGUGUUAGAGGGUUUCCGCCCUUUAGUGCUGCAGCAAACGCAUUAAGCACUCCGCCUGGGGAGUACGGUCGCAAGACUGAAACUCAAAGGAAUUGACGGGGGCCCGCACAAGCGGUGGAGCAUGUGGUUUAAUUCGAAGCAACGCGAAGAACCUUACCAGGUCUUGACAUCCUCUGACAACCCUAGAGAUAGGGCUUCCCCUUCGGGGGCAGAGUGACAGGUCAUGCAUGGUUGUCGUCAGCUCGUGUCGUGAGAUGUUGGGUUAAGUCCCGCCCUUGAUUCAACCCUUGAUCUUAGUUGCCAGCAUUCAGUUGGGCACUCUAAGG